rnacentral:rRNA from 1 species
GGACAUCCCGAUGUGAAAAAAGGCGCAAGCCGCUCGAUGACGGGCUCGCGGCCUAUUAGCUUGUUGGUGGGGUAACGGCCUACCAAGGCGAUGAUGGGUAGCUGGUCUGAGAGGACGAUCAGCCACACUGGGACUGAGACACGGCCCAGACUCCUACGGGAGGCAGCAGUUAGGAAUUUUCCGCAAUGGGCGCAAGCCUGACGGAGCAACGCCGCGUGUGUGAUGAAGGCCUUCGGGUUGUAAAGCACUGUCGGAGGGGAAGAACAAAUGACGGUGCCCUCCAAGAAAGCCCCGGCUAACUACGUGCCAGCAGCCGCGGUAAUACGUAGGGGGCGAGCGUUAUCCGGAUUUACUGGGCGUAAAGCGCGUUAAGGCGGUUGGCAAAGUUGGGGGUGAAAUUUCAGGGCUCAACCCUGAAACUGCCUCCAAUACUGGUCGACUUGAGUGUGAGAGAGGAAGGUGGAAUUCCCGGUGUAGUAGUGAAAUGCGUAGAUAUCGGGAGGAACACCAGUGGCGAAGGCGGCCUUCUGGCUCACAACUGACGCUGUAGCGCGAAAGCGUGGGGAGCGAACGGGAUUAGAUACCCCGGUAGUCCACGCUGUAAACGAUGUGCACUAGGUGUUGGGCGUAUUGACGCGCUCAGUGCCGCAGCUAACGCAUUAAGUGCACCGCCUGGGGAGUACGGCCGCAAGGUUAAAACUCAAAGGAAUUGACGGAAUCGAAUU